CACUUCCUGCAUGUACAAUGCCUCCACAGAAUCAUCAAACACCUUUGUAAAAAACUCUCUCACCUCUGAUUCUUCAACCGGGUACCCCUUAGAAAAGGUCAGAAACAAUGUCCUUUCAUCUGCUGGUACUAGUUCUAUAUUGAUGUUCUCUUGUGCUAGAUUAUGCACAUGAAUCUUAUGAUCAUGACUUGCACCACCCUGAACCAUGUUGCUGAAAGAGUGAAGAUUAGAUGGUGCAAUUGAGCCAAACCAUAAAGGUUUCUGUUGUUGUUGUUGUGGUGGUUUUGCACUUUGAUCUGACAUAUUUCUUUGAGAUUCAGCUUUUUUCUCAAUUGUGUUCCCAGUAAUAGCAUGUUGCAUUAUAUCAGAGAAUGCUCUAACNNNNNNNNNNNNNNNNNNNNNNNNNNNNNNNNNNNNNNNNNNNNNNNNNNNNNNNNNNNNNNNNNNNNNNNNNNNNNNNNNNNNNNNNNNNNNNNNNNNNUAAUCUUUGUUAUCAUACAAAGAUUGUGAAGAUAUCUCUUUGUCCACAAUGCUUUGUAGAAGAGAGAUAUCACAAGGUUCAGAAGUGAAGGGAAUGGAGUAAGAGAAGUAGCUAAAGUUGGUAGCAUUAAUGUAUUUGAGACAUGAGAGAGUUUCAUCUGCAACUUCAUUUAUCAAGGUGUAUGGAAGAGAGGUUAUUUUCUUUACCAAAUGACGAUAACCUAACCUCUCUAACCAUAGCCACAUAGCAAGAACUUGCAUGGACUCGGUUGGGUUACGAUAAAGGUUGAUCACAAGGAUCCAAUAGAGUUUUCUGUCCAUUUUGUGGAAGAGACAGAAAUCCUCAUGGGAGAUGGUGAUGAUAGUAGAAGGAGGUAGUGCAUGAUCCAUAAUAUGAAAGAGAACAAUAUAAUUUAUUGUCACUCAAGAGCUUUGGUCUUUAUAUAAAACUGCUUUGGACAACCAUCUAUAAAUACCAAGCGGCUAUGUAGAUAAGUUUUGAAGGAGAAAGAAUAGAAAAAAAGAUUUCAGAAUCAUGUCAUAAGUGUAUUUCAGGUUUUUAACAUUUAUCGAUCUUCUUUAUUACCUUUUAAAAACUAACUUACAAAUGAAUUCUUAGUUGCAAAUGAAGAAUUGAAAAUCAAUAAAGUGUUGGUCUGAUAUAAGGCCUCACUAGAUCUCUAAGGUGGUCAAAAGGUCAAAGGUUUCAAUCCUAAGAGCGACACUUGUUAGAAGGGUCAGUCACACACCAUAAAAGAGAUUAAUUCUUUAACCAAAAUGGGUAAAGAAUACUCUUACUAAUAUAAAAAAGGAAAUGAAAUGAUAUAACUAUAAAAUAUGUCAUCACAUUGUUUUUUUAUUGGUUUAUGAUACUUGAAUUCAAUAUAACUCUCAAAUAUUAGUUUCAGGACCCUAUGAUAAUUACCCAAGUAAGAUCAUUACUUAGAAUUAGUAUCUUCUCCAUUAAUGGAGAGGCAAGUGCAUCAAAAAAUAAAGAAAAUCACAAAUUUCAAUGACACAUUUAUCAUUCCAAUUAUAAUAAAAUUAUUACUAAAAACAAAAUAAAAUACAUAUAUUUGUUUCUCCGUUAAUAAAAAUAAUACUUAUUGCAUUACAGAUGGAUGUAGCGAGAAUAGUGUGAGGUUUAUAUAGCAGACAAAAGUGGUGUGGACCCUACAUCAGAAGUGAUCCUUUCGCAAUUUGUGAACAAAAUAGGGAAAAGGUGAGCUUUCCUAAAAUAUAUUUUUUUCUUACUUUUUAAUUCAACCAAACAAAAAAAGAUAAAUUAACACUUAUUUUUCUUCUUUUUUUCCUCGGAUAUCAAAUAAUCAUUGAAAUAACAAUGUUCUGGAUCCUUAAUAUUGAGUGUUCCAUUUAUGUGAGCAAUAUUUGUUCGAAAAAGUAGCAAUGAACCCUGAAAAUGAUUAACUCAUUAUCUAAAAAGAUAAGAAAAUACUUUUAGUAAUAACAAAAAAUAAUCAUUGAAAAUCACUAUUUUCUACUCACUUACUUUCUACCUAAAUUUAUCUUUCUAUAUCUCCUUCUAUUUUUCUAUCAAACCAAACAAUAUAGCAUUAUGAUGAAAUAAGAGAAACAGUAUAUGAUAAAAAGUAAAAAUAAAAUAUUGAUAUAAAAAUAGUAGAGAUAAUAGAGCUAUUAAAUACUUGAGUUGCAAAGUAAAAGAAGCAUUGAAGUUAGAAAUAAACUGAUAAUCAUGUCCUGUGUGUGAAACAAUUUUCUGACUUAGCACAACUAAUAUCAAAAGAGCCUAAAAGCAGCAAGAAAAUCUGCAUGGCACCAUUUAAUCCUUAGAAAAUAAACAUAAAUGGUGGUUGUCAGGAUCUAACUUCAAAACAAGAGUUACAUAUCAGUUUCCAUGGUUUUAAGGGCUUCCUGAAAGAACACAAAUUGUCUGACGUUAGUGCAUUGGUUAAGUAGUUUCUCUUCUUUUUCUCGCCCAUAGUAACCAACUAACCAUAGUUCUACAAAUUAGAGUAUCUUUCACACUAUCAAAUUUCGGGGCCCAACAACUCAAAACAAUUAUUGCCCUUGGAGCAAAAUUUUUGCAUUCAUAUCCAAUUGACUUUGCCAUACACUCGUAAAAAGUAAUUGAGAUUUUUUUACGGUUACACAAAUUUUCGAGUUGGAGCUAGGAGAGAGAAUGACUCGACCCUACUCGUUAUGGCGCUUUUGCUUCUGAGGAAUUUAAUAUGUUUUCUGAGGAGAGAGUCCUUGAAGCCGAAAGAUGUCAAAUGCAAUUAUUAUUUGGAGAUAUAUCUAAGGACGAGAAAACAAGUGAUGUCACAAAUAUAAAGGUUGUACCAAAACCACCACUACGGAAUAAAAGAAAGUCGGCUUAUAGUAGUUACUGCAGAGAGGAAGCUACAAGCAAGAUGCAGAAACAGGGCAGGCAGGCAUCAGAUCCUAUAAUAACCUUAUAAUUUCUCUCCGAUAAUUAACUUGCAAUAAUAACCUUAUAAUUUUUUUUAAUAUCUUAUACCUUUUAAAAAAGUAAAAUGAUAAGGUUGUUUAUCUUAUGAUAUAAAGUUAUAAGUUCAAAUAUAGAAAAAAAUAUUGUUAUGAUGGGAAGACAACAUACAUUUACUAAGACUAUAGUAGUUGAGAACAUGGUCAAUUAAACAUCUCUUCAUACAUUUUAGAGUAAAUUAUAUUGACAUCUCCUAAGUUUUAGCGAAAUUAUAUGAAUCAUUUUAUUUUUACACCUACAGAAAUAAGGGUGGAAACAAGUACGGUCGCCUAUCAGGGGGCUAUUACCUGACCUAUAAUAGGCCAGUCCAGACUAUGGAUGGCAACGGGCGCGGGCGGGCGUAGGGUAGUGCUUUCCCGUGCCCAAACCCGCAACAUUUGCGGGAACCCGUGCAGGUAGCGGGUAUUUACGGGUACCCAAUGAGUUUUUAAUUUUAAUUAUAUAUUUAUAUAAGUUGUAAUAAUCAAUAUGUAAAAAUAAUUGUUACAUGAAUAAUAUGAUAUUUACAUCAUAAGUUUAUUAUCAUAGUCGAAUAUGUGUAAUAUAUUAUGAAAUAAUAAUAAAGUAUAUGAUAUAUAAUCUAAAAUAAUAAUAAUAAUAAUAAUAAAUAUUAUAAAAAUUUAACUAAAAACUAAAUAUAUAAAUUUGCGGGUACCCGCAGGGCGGGUAUCACAAAACCCGCUCUCGCCCAUAAGCUAUUAUUGCAGGUACCCCUUGCGGGUAUUUUUACGGGUACCCAUAGGUCAGGUUUUUUUGCCAUCCCUAGACCAGACCAGGCUUUUUUCAUAAACAUGUCAGGCUCAGGCUUUUUGAAAAGUCUAUUUACUUUAACAAAUCAUGUUUUUGGUCAUCCAAAAGGCCUAUUAAACCUAAUAGACUAGUCUAUUUAAUUAUUUUAUAUAAUAUGCUCAUAUUAUACAAUUUUAACAUAUAUAAUAAUAUUAUUAUUAUUAUAUAUAUAUAUAUAUAUAAUUUUGAUAUAAAAAUAUAACUUAAUUGUUAGGAUUAGAAGAGUCUCAUUAAAAAUAUGAAUAUUAGUCUAUUUAAAUGUAGAAAUGAUGACCUAUUUAAAUAUUAUAUAGUAUAAUAGGUCUUUAAACAAAUUAACAUGUCAUGCUAGACUUUUAAAUAGGCUAACAGGUGAGGCCGAGACUCUUACAUGCUAUAUAGGUUGUGCUUGUAACAACCCGAUUCUUUUGUGAAAUAAAUAAAUAAAUAAAAAUGUUUUUAUAGAAUUUAUUUCUCAACAACUAUUUAUGACUAUGAAUUUCUUCCUUCAUAGAUUUUAUUUAUUGUGGAUACAUUUAAUAAAUAUGAGUUUCUAAUUAAAAACCAUGGCCCAAAUGACAUAACAAUAUAUUUUUAAGACUUCAACAAUUCAAGUUCAUUUUCUAUAAUUAUGUGAAUAAAUAAUUUUUUUUCCAAGAAUCAAUUGUCCUUAUUUUAAUGACUAAGUAUAUAUAUUUACUUAUCAAUACUUUUGUCAUUCUAAAGCAACCUAAUAAAAACACAUGUGAUAAUAUCCAUCAAAAUGUCAUGACUAAAAGUCAUAUAUAACAUGUUUUACAAACAACUACAUAAUAACUAUGAUCUAUCUAUGGGAAUGCAAUUUCUAGUUAGUUUUAGUUGCAUACAUACAAAUAACUUAUAGUUUUUCCAAGUAAAGUAAAACUUGUGUUCCUAGAGUAUCAGAAGUUAAUUUCAUCCUUACAACAGGGUACCCCAAUACAAAAAAACAUAACACAAAACAGAACAUAACACCUAAGGUAACCCAUUUUACCAGUCUUCCAAAAAUAUAAGUAUCCAACAUAUCAUUCCAAUCACACACCAACCCUAUAUUCCUAUGCUACUAACAGGAACCAGAUCCUCUACCAUUUCUUGGGGAGAAGUGUUGCUUGUUAUCUGUAUGAUCAUAAGAGAUAUACCAGUACACAAUAUACAAAAACAAAGAGAGAGUAAGUUAUCCUUUUAAGGCACAAUAUGUGGAAUUAUAUGGAAAUUAAGUAUCAUAACAUAAUAUAAAUAAUAUAUAUCAUAACAUGGACAAUCAUAACUCAACAUAAGCGAUUAUAACACAGUAUAAGCGACAUGACACAACAUAAACGAUUAUAGCACAACAUUAACAAUCAUAUUAUAAAAUAAACAUAUCACAUUUCUCAAACAUAAAACUCAAUCUCAUGAGUAUGGUGCAUAAACUAUGCAAUGUAUCACCAACUAGUCCAAUAUCAAAUGCAAUGCAUAUGAAUCCAUAUUCAACCUUUCACUUUUCAACUCAACUCCCAUUAUUUUUCAACUCAACUCCUUUUGGAAAGCAAUCGGGAGUACAAGACAUCCUGUANNNNNNNNNNNNNNNNNNNNNNNNNNNNNNNNNNNNNNNNNNNNNNNNNNNNNNNNNNNNNNNNNNNNNNNNNNNNNNNNNNNNNNNNNNNNNNNNNNNNAAUGAGAGAAAGGAAAAGAAAAACAAUGGAGGAAGAAGAUAAUGACUCACCACUUUUCUUCUUCUCCUCCUCCCCAAUGUUACGUUCUGGUUCCUCCCCAAAGAAAGGGACAAUCCCUUUUAUUUUUAUUUUUCUUAACUCUUUUUAAAUCAAUUGAAAUAUGCAUAUAUAAUUAUCAUAUAAGAAUAUUAAUAACAUAUUAUUAUAUUCUAUUUUAAUCAAUUACUAAAUACAUUUCUUAUUGUUAUUAUUCCAAAAAUUUAUAUUAGUCAUAAGGCAAUUUGGAUUGAUAAACCUAUAACAAAUCUUAUAAUUUAAAAGAAUCAAUCUAACUAUGCUACUAAUCCUAAAUAUAUUAUAUCAUACUCAUAUUCAAAAUCUCAUGUUCUAAAAAUAUAUGAAUAGAUUUAAAAAAGAAAACAUUACACUUUAGUACAAUGUUUUAAAUACACAUAUAUUCUCAAUUAUAUAAUAAAAAUCAAUUUAAUACACUAAGCAAAAAUCCUAAUUCAUAUUAGGAAAAAUAUAGGCGUUAUAGUGCUUGUUUAAGGCAAAGUCUGGUCUGGUCUGGCUUGUUUCCACCCUUAUACAGAAAACCCCUAAUUUAUAUACACAUUACACUGGCUAUCACUACCGGAUAAAAAAUGUAAUUUUUUAAAUAAAAAGGGCGAUGAGUGUAACUAAGUUAAACAAAAUAUGAUAUAUUAUGGAGACAAAUCCAAAUAAUAUACGAGUCAAUAUCUCUUCAUUAUUUUUGGUUCAUUACGAUAUAGUGUAAGAUCAUUUAUGCAAUAUCUCUUUAGAAUUCUUGAUACAUUUUUUAACAAAAAAAUAAUGAACAUACAUUAACUUCUAUAUUAUUUAGACUUAUUUCCACAAUAUAGCAUGUUUUGUUUAACUUAAUUGCAUUUAUCAUAUUUUUUGUUUAAAAUAUUACACUUAUUUCUCAUGUAGAGAUAAUGAGUGUAAUGAAGAUAUAUAAAUUAUGGAGUAUUUAUGUAGAUGUAGAAAAAAUAAAAGGUGAUUUAUAAUUUCACUAAAACUUAGUGGGUGUAAUUGUAAUUUACUCUAUAUUUUAAUAUUUUUGAUGUAUAAAUAAUAUUUGAUAUGGGUGACUUCAAAGUUAUUUAUUACAUUGAUCCUUGUAAUAUGUAAAAUUUAAAAUGAUGUCUUCUUUUUCUGUCCUGUAAAUAAAUAAAAACAAUCUUAAUAUUAAAUAUCACAUCAUGAUAGUAUUGUUACAAAAAGGAUAGGUAUACAGAUACACAUUGACUCAGAUUAGCAGCUGUAUGUAGCAAACAUCUAAGGACAUAAACACACACAAUAUUUGCAAUUUCCAAUGCCAGAAACAUAAAUACAAGAACAAUGAAUUUAUGAUAUACAAUAUAUAUAUAUAUAUAUGAAAUCUGGAUAUGAAUUUUUGGGAAUGUUGUUAAAAUUUUACUUUGCAAAUAAUUUUAAUGUAAACAUUUCAACUAGGAAUACGCAUUGUUAGCUCGCUUACGAUUGUAAAUCUGUGGAAUUAAAUUUCAACAACAUUAUAUCAUGAAUCAAUAGCAUAGCAUAUUUUCAUAAAAAAAAAAAACUUCAACUUCAUUCAUAUGGAUGAGAAUGACAUAACAACUAUAUCAUAACCAAUGCAUUUCCCAGACAAGUUUAGACAACACAAAACCAAAAGUAAUAGGCAUCACAAAAUACAAACUACUGCAUGAUCAGCAUAAAUUACACACAACUUAAUUUUUCUACACCUUCCUUGCACUCCUAGAUGAUUCACCACUAUAGCUGUUACAUAGUUCAUGUACGUUUUGGCACAAACCUACGAGCCCAAACAUGUUUUCCAUUGAUGCUCAAUUUGGCCUUACUUGACCCUCCAAUAAUCAUGUUAAUAGUUGAUUUGUUGCGGAAAAUCAUUCGAGCAAACAAUGGUUGUUCAUUUGGUUGCACUUCCUGCAUGUACAAUGCCUCCACAGAAUCAUCAAACACCUUUGUAAAAAACUCUCUCACCUCUGAUUCUUCAACCGGGUACCCCUUAGAAAAGGUCAGAAACAAUGUCCUCUCAUCUGCUGGUACUAGUUCUAUAUUGAUGUUCUCUUGUGCUAGAUUAUGCACAUGAAUCUGAUGAUCAUGACUUGCACCACCCUGAACCAUGUUGCUGAAAGAGUGAAGAUUAGAUGGUGCAAUUGAGCCAAACCAUAAAGGUUUCUGUUGUUGUUGUUGUGGUGGUUUUGCACUUUGAUCUGACAUAUUUCUUUGAGAUUCAGCUUUUUUCUCAAUUGUGUUCCCAGUAAUAGCAUGUUGCAUUAUAUCAGAGAAUGCUCUAACGCACACGCUAUUCAUUACUCCUGCCACCCCUUGAAGUACAUAAUCUUUGUUAUCAUACAAAGAUUGUGAAGAUAUCUCUUUGUCCACAAUGCUUUGUAGAAGAGAGAUAUCACAAGGUUCAGAAGUGAAGGGAAUGGAGUAAGAGAAGUAGCUAAAGUUGGUAGCAUUAAUGUAUUUGAGACAUGAGAGAGUUUCAUCUGCAACUUCAUUUAUCAAGGUGUAUGGAAGAGAGGUUAUUUUCUUUACCAAAUGACGAUAACCUAACCUCUCUAACCAUAGCCACAUAGCAAGAACUUGCAUGGACUCGGUUGGGUUACGAUAAAGGUUGAUCACAAGGAUCCAAUAGAGUUUUCUGUCCAUUUUGUGGAAGAGACAGAAAUCCUCAUGGGAGAUGGUGAUGAUAGUAGAAGGAGGUAGUGCAUGAUCCAUAAUAUGAAAGAGAACAAUAUAAUUUAUUGUCACUCAAGAGCUUUGGUCUUUAUAUAAAACUGCUUUGGACAACCAUCUAUAAAUACCAAGCGGCUAUGUAGAUAAGUUUUGAAGGAGAAAGAAUAGAAAAAAAAAGAUUUCAGAAUCAUGUCAUAAGUGUAUUUCAGGUUUUUAACAUUUAUCGAUCUUCUUUAUUACCUUUUAAAAACUAACUUACAAAUGAAUUCUUAGUUGCAAAUGAAGAAUUGAAAACCAAUAAAGUGUUGGUCCAGUGAUAUAAGGUCUCACUAGAUCUCUAGGGUGGUCAAAAUGUUAAAGGUUCGAAUCGUGAUAGCGACAUUUGUUAAAAAGGUCAAUCAGAUACCCUAAAAGAAAUUAAUUUUUUAACCAAAAUAGGUAAAGGAUACUCUUACUAAUAUCAAAAAGGAAAUGAAAUGAUAUAACUAUUAAAUAUGUCAUCACAUUGUUUUUUUAUUGGUUUAUGAUACUUGAAUUCAAUAUAACUCUCAAAUAUUAGUUUCAGGACCCUAUGAGAGUUACCAAGCUAAGAUCAUUACCGAGAGUUAGGAUCGUCUCUAUUAAUGGAGAAGCGAAUGUAUCAAAAAGCAAAGAAAACCACAAAUUUCAAUUACACAUUUACCCUUCUAAUUAUAAUAAAGUUACCAUUAAAAACGAAAAUACAUAUAUUUGUUUCUCCGCUAAUGAAGAUGAUACUUGGUUGCAUUACAGAUGGAUAUAGCGAGAAUAGUGUGAGGUUUAUAUAGCAGACAAAAGAGAUGUGGACCCUACAUCAGAAGUGAUCCUUUCGCAAUUUGUGAACAAAAUAGGGAAAAGGUGAGCUUUCCUAAAAUAUAUUUUUUCUUAUUUUUUUAAUUCAACCAAACAAAAAAAAGAUAAAUUAACACUUAUUUUUCUUCUUUUUUUCCUCGGAUAUCAAAUAAUCAUUGAAAUAACAAUGUUCUGGAUCCUUAAUAUUGAGUGUUCCAUUUAUGUGAGCAAUAUUUGUUCGAAAAAGUAGCAAUGAACCCUGAAAAUGAUUAACUCAUUAUCUAAAAAGAUAAGAAAAUACUUUUAGUAAUAACAAAAAAUAAUCAUUGAAAAUCACUAUUUUCUACUCACUUACUUUCUACCUAAAUUUAUCUUUCUAUAUCUCCUUCUAUUUUUCUAUCAAACCAAACAAUAUAGCAUUAUGAUGAAAUAAGAGAAACAGUAUAUGAUAAAAAUUAUUAAAAAAAAUAUUGAUAUAAAAAUAGUAGAGUUAAUAGAGCUAUUAAAUACUUGAGUUGCAAAGUAAAAGAAGCAUUGAAGUUAGAAAUAAACUGAUAAUCAUGUCCUGUGUGUGAAACAAUUUUCUGACUUAGCACAACUAAUAUCAAAAGAGCCUAAAAGCAGCAAGAAAAUCUGCAUGGCACCAUUUAAUCCUUAGAAAAUAAACAUAAAUGGUGGUUGUCAGGAUCUAACUUCAAAACAAGAGUUACAUAUCAGUUUCCAUGGUUUUAAGGGCUUCCUGAAAGAACACAAAUUGUCUGACGUUAGUGCAUUGGUUAAGUAGUUUCUCUUCUUUUUCUCGCCCAUAGUAACCAACUAACCAUAGUUCUACAAAUUAGAGUAUCUUUCACACUAUCAAAUUUCGGGGCCCAACAACUCAAAACAAUUAUUGCCCUUGGAGCAAAAUUUUUGCAUUCAUAUCCAAUUGACUUUGCCAUACACUCGUAAAAAGUAAUUGAGAUUUUUUUACGGUUACACAAAUUUUCGAGUUGGAGCUAGGAGAGAGAAUGACUCGACCCUACUCGUUAUGGCGCUUUUGCUUCUGAGGAAUUUAAUAUGUUUUCUGAGGAGAGAGUCCUUGAAGCCGAAAGAUGUCAAAUGCAAUUAUUAUUUGGAGAUAUAUCUAAGGACGAGAAAACAAGUGAUGGCACAAAUAUAAAGGUUGUACCAAAACCACCACUACGGAAUAAAAGAAAGUCGGCUUAUAGUAGUUACUGCAGAGAGGAAGCUACAAGCAAGAUGCAGAAACAGGGCAGGCAGGCAUCAGAUCCUAUAAUAACCUUAUAAUUUCUCUCCGAUAAUUAACUUGCAAUAAUAACCUUAUAAUUUUUUUUAAUAUCUUAUACCUUUUAAAAAAGUAAAAUGAUAAGGUUGUUUAUCUUAUGAUAUAAAGUUAUAAGUUCAAAUAUAGAAAAAAAUAUUGUUAUGAUGGGAAGACAACAUACAUUUACUAAGACUAUAGUAGUUGAGAACAUGGUCAAUUAAACAUCUCUUCAUACAUUUUAGAGUAAAUUAUAUUGACAUCUCCUAAGUUUUAGCGAAAUUAUAUGAAUCAUUUUAUUUUUACACCUACAGAAAUAAGGGUGGAAACAAGUACGGUCGCCUAUCAGGGGGCUAUUACCUGACCUAUAAUAGGCCAGUCCAGACUAUGGAUGGCAACGGGCGCGGGCGGGCGUAGGGUAGUGCUUUCCCGUGCCCAAACCCGCAAUAUUUGCGGGUACCCGUGCAGGUAGCGGGUAUUUACGGGUACCCAAUGAGUUUUUAAUUUUAAUUAUAUAUUUAUAUAAGUUGUAAUAAUCAAUAUGUAAAAAUAAUUGUUACAUGAAUAAUAUGAUAUUUACAUCAUAAGUUUAUUAUCAUAGUCGAAUAUGUGUAAUAUAUUAUGAAAUAAUAAUAAAGUAUAUGAUAUAUAAUCUAAAAUAAUAAUAAUAAUAAUAAUAAAUAUUAUAAAAAUUUAACUAAAAACUAAAUAUAUAAAUUUGCGGGUACCCGCAGGGCGGGUAUCACAAAACCCGCUCUCGCCCAUAAGCUAUUAUUGCAGGUACCCCUUGCGGGUAUUUUUACGGGUACCCAUAGGUCAGGUUUUUUUGCCAUCCCUAGACCAGACCAGGCUUUUUUCAUAAACAUGUCAGGCUCAGGCUUUUUGAAAAGUCUAUUUACUUUAACAAAUCAUGUUUUUGGUCAUCCAAAAGGCCUAUUAAACCUAAUAGACUAGUCUAUUUAAUUAUUUUAUAUAAUAUGCUCAUAUUAUACAAUUUUAACAUAUAUAAUAAUAUUAUUAUUAUUAUAUAUAUAUAUAUAUAUAAUUUUGAUAUAAAAAUAUAACUUAAUUGUUAGGAUUAGAAGAGUCUCAUUAAAAAUAUGAAUAUUAGUCUAUUUAAAUGUAGAAAUGAUGACCUAUUUAAAUAUUAUAUAGUAUAAUAGGUCUUUAAACAAAUUAACAUGUCAUGCUAGACUUUUCAAUAGGCUAACAGGUGAGGCCGAGACUCUUACAUGCUAUAUAGGUUGUGCUUGUAACAACCCGAUUCUUUUGUGAAAUAAAUAAAUAAAUAAAAAUGUUUUUAUAGAAUUUAUUUCUCAACAACUAUUUAUGACUAUGAAUUUCUUCCUUCAUAGAUUUUAUUUAUUGUGGAUACAUUUAAUAAAUAUGAGUUUCUAAUUAAAAACCAUGGCCCAAAUGACAUAACAAUAUAUUUUUAAGACUUCAACAAUUCAAGUUCAUUUUCUAUAAUUAUGUGAAUAAAUAAUUUUUUUUCCAAGAAUCAAUUGUCCUUAUUUUAAUGACUAAGUAUAUAUAUUUACUUAUCAAUACUUUUGUCAUUCUAAAGCAACCUAAUAAAAACACAUGUGAUAAUAUCCAUCAAAAUGUCAUGACUAAAAGUCAUAUAUAACAUGUUUUACAAACAACUACAUAAUAACUAUGAUCUAUCUAUGGGAAUGCAAUUUCUAGUUAGUUUUAGUUGCAUACAUACAAAUAACUUAUAGUUUUUCCAAGUAAAGUAAAACUUGUGUUCCUAGAGUAUCAGAAGUUAAUUUCAUCCUUACAACAGGGUACCCCAAUACAAAAAAACAUAACACAAAACAGAACAUAACACCUAAGGUAACCCAUUUUACCAGUCUUCCAAAAAUAUAAGUAUCCAACAUAUCAUUCCAAUCACACACCAACCCUAUAUUCCUAUGCUACUAACAGGAACCAGAUCCUCUACCAUUUCUUGGGGAGAAGUGUUGCUUGUUAUCUGUAUGAUCAUAAGAGAUAUACCAGUACACAAUAUACAAAAACAAAGAGAGAGUAAGUUAUCCUUUUAAGGCACAAUAUGUGGAAUUAUAUGGAAAUUAAGUAUCAUAACAUAAUAUAAAUAAUAUAUAUCAUAACAUGGACAAUCAUAACUCAACAUAAGCGAUUAUAACACAGUAUAAGCGACAUGACACAACAUAAACGAUUAUAGCACAACAUUAACAAUCAUAUUAUAAAAUAAACAUAUCACAUUUCUCAAACAUAAAACUCAAUCUCAUGAGUAUGGUGCAUAAACUAUGCAAUGUAUCACCAACUAGUCCAAUAUCAAAUGCAAUGCAUAUGAAUCCAUAUUCAACCUUUCACUUUUCAACUCAACUCCCAUUAUUUUUCAACUCAACUCCUUUUGGAAAGCAAUCGGGAGUACAAGACAUCCUGUANNNNNNNNNNNNNNNNNNNNNNNNNNNNNNNNNNNNNNNNNNNNNNNNNNNNNNNNNNNNNNNNNNNNNNNNNNNNNNNNNNNNNNNNNNNNNNNNNNNNAAAGAAAGAGAAUGAGAGAAAGGAAAAGAAAAACAAUGGAGGAAGAAGAUAAUGACUCACCACUUUUCUUCUUCUCCUCCUCCCCAAUGUUACGUUCUGGUUCCUCCCCAAAGAAAGGGACAAUCCCUUUUAUUUUUAUUUUUCUUAACUCUUUUUAAAUCAAUUGAAAUAUGCAUAUAUAAUUAUCAUAUAAGAAUAUUAAUAACAUAUUAUUAUAUUCUAUUUUAAUCAAUUACUAAAUACAUUUCUUAUUGUUAUUAUUCCAAAAAUUUAUAUUAGUCAUAAGGCAAUUUGGAUUGAUAAACCUAUAACAAAUCUUAUAAUUUAAAAGAAUCAAUCUAACUAUGCUACUAAUCCUAAAUAUAUUAUAUCAUACUCAUAUUCAAAAUCUCAUGUUCUAAAAAUAUAUGAAUAGAUUUAAAAAAGAAAACAUUACACUUUAGUACAAUGUUUUAAAUACACAUAUAUUCUCAAUUAUAUAAUAAAAAUCAAUUUAAUACACUAAGCAAAAAUCCUAAUUCAUAUUAGGAAAAAUAUAGGCGUUAUAGUGCUUGUUUAAGGCAAAGUCUGGUCUGGUCUGGCUUGUUUCCACCCUUAUACAGAAAACCCCUAAUUUAUAUACACAUUACACUGGCUAUCACUACCGGAUAAAAAAUGUAAUUUUUUAAAUAAAAAGGGCGAUGAGUGUAACUAAGUUAAACAAAAUAUGAUAUAUUAUGGAGACAAAUCCAAAUAAUAUACGAGUCAAUAUCUCUUCAUUAUUUUUGGUUCAUUACGAUAUAGUGUAAGAUCAUUUAUGCAAUAUCUCUUUAGAAUUCUUGAUACAUUUUUUAACAAAAAAAUAAUGAACAUACAUUAACUUCUAUAUUAUUUAGACUUAUUUCCACAAUAUAGCAUGUUUUGUUUAACUUAAUUGCAUUUAUCAUAUUUUUUGUUUAAAAUAUUACACUUAUUUCUCAUGUAGAGAUAAUGAGUGUAAUGAAGAUAUAUAAAUUAUGGAGUAUUUAUGUAGAUGUAGAAAAAAUAAAAGGUGAUUUAUAAUUUCACUAAAACUUAGUGGGUGUAAUUGUAAUUUACUCUAUAUUUUAAUAUUUUUGAUGUAUAAAUAAUAUUUGAUAUGGGUGACUUCAAAGUUAUUUAUUACAUUGAUCCUUGUAAUAUGUAAAAUUUAAAAUGAUGUCUUCUUUUUCUGUCCUGUAAAUAAAUAAAAACAAUCUUAAUAUUAAAUAUCACAUCAUGAUAGUAUUGUUACAAAAAGGAUAGGUAUACAGAUACACAUUGACUCAGAUUAGCAGCUGUAUGUAGCAAACAUCUAAGGACAUAAACACACACAAUAUUUGCAAUUUCCAAUGCCAGAAACAUAAAUACAAGAACAAUGAAUUUAUGAUAUACAAUAUAUAUAUAUAUAUAUGAAAUCUGGAUAUGAAUUUUUGGGAAUGUUGUUAAAAUUUUACUUUGCAAAUAAUUUUAAUGUAAACAUUUCAACUAGGAAUACGCAUUGUUAGCUCGCUUACGAUUGUAAAUCUGUGGAAUUAAAUUUCAACAACAUUAUAUCAUGAAUCAAUAGCAUAGCAUAUUUUCAUAAAAAAAAAAACUUCAACUUCAUUCAUAUGGAUGAGAAUGACAUAACAACUAUAUCAUAACCAAUGCAUUUCCCAGACAAGUUUAGACAACACAAAACCAAAAGUAAUAGGCAUCACAAAAUACAAACUACUGCAUGAUCAGCAUAAAUUACACACAACUUAAUUUUUCUACACCUUCCUUGCACUCCUAGAUGAUUCACCACUAUAGCUGUUACAUAGUUCAUGUACGUUUUGGCACAAACCUACGAGCCCAAACAUGUUUUCCAUUGAUGCUCAAUUUGGCCUUACUUGACCCUCCAAUAAUCAUGUUAAUAGUUGAUUUGUUGCGGAAAAUCAUUCGAGCAAACAAUGGUUGUUCAUUUGGUUGCACUUCCUGCAUGUACAAUGCCUCCACAGAAUCAUCAAACACCUUUGUAAAAAACUCUCUCACCUCUGAUUCUUCAACCGGGUACCCCUUAGAAAAGGUCAGAAACAAUGUCCUCUCAUCUGCUGGUACUAGUUCUAUAUUGAUGUUCUCUUGUGCUAGAUUAUGCACAUGAAUCUGAUGAUCAUGACUUGCACCACCCUGAACCAUGUUGCUGAAAGAGUGAAGAUUAGAUGGUGCAAUUGAGCCAAACCAUAAAGGUUUCUGUUGUUGUUGUGGUUUUGCACUUUGAUCUGACACAUUCCUUUGAGAUUCAGCUUUUUUCUCAAUUGUGUUCCCAGUAAUAGCAUGCUGCAUUAUAUCAGAGAAUGCUCUAACACACACG
rnacentral:lncRNA from 1 species